rnacentral:piRNA from 1 species
UAAUCUCGAAUGACCCUUACUUCACCC